UCCCUCUCUUCAACACUGCAGUGCAUAAAAGAAGGCGAGGAGGCAAGGGCAGUCAUCUUGCUCCAGGCACAGUCAACAGAGCUGUGACAACGUCCCAGUCUGGUGUUCAAUUCAUUCGUCAAAAAAAGCACCAUGUUCGUGUUGCCGAAGGUUGUGGUUGUGGGUGUGGUCUGUGUCUUGGUGGUACUCCAAGCACAGCUCUCUCAGUCCAAGGGCGCUUUAAAAUGCCCUAAGGUUAUGGCACCAGAAGAAGAAGUGAUGGUUGAGAUUCCAUGCAAAGGACAAACCCAUGGCUGCAAACACUUCUGUGAAGCUAAAUGCGACGCCUACAUUUUCACCUGUGAGAACGGUCACCUGGAGGCAAACAUGCAGGAUGUCGAACUGGACUGCUCUUUAGAAAAGCUGGUGGUAAAAGAAGGAGGAGAACCCAAAGAAGAUUUCUGCGGUCCGAUGAACGAUAUUGUCUCUGACGGAGAGAAGCUAGUCAUCCGAUACAAAAAAUUAGGACAAGCCAGUAUGUUUAAGGAUGGGAAAUGCACAGGUAGAAAAAGGUGUGAUUGUUUCUACACAGUGAAAUGUGUGGUUGAGACCACAACAGCUUCUUCUACUACUACAACUAAUGCUACUACUACUAGUGCUAUUAUUACUAGUGCUACUCCCUAAGUCGACACUGUGGAUUACGGGGACAGAAUGAUGAUGAUGACUAUAAUCUUAUUACCAAACCACACCCUUGCACGUUAACGCACCAGCACAAAUAAAAGACUACCAGCAUGAAAA